GGGAUGAAAUUCAGCUUUUACAUGAAGAUGGUGAGGGACAGUGGUUGGUGAAAAACCUAAACAGAAGAAAAGAAGGCUGGAUUCCUGUCCACAGUCUGCAGAUAGUAGUUGGUGACUGCAGAUUCCGGAAUGCCAAAGUCGCAGAUGCUGCCCUGUGUAACACGAGAAAGUUUAGUUCCCCUUGAAUUAAGGGUGAACUAGCAGCAUCCUAUUUUCGAUGCUCUUUGGAAGCUUUCAGCUAAGUGUUACAGAGAAAUAGCACAAUAGUUGGAGUUGUCCUGUACUAUUCAUCACAUUCACAGACCUCCACAGCUUCAUCUGCACUGAACGGGACUGGGGUCCUAAGCAGCUUCUCAUAGUCAUAAAGGAAGCCAUUCUCUGCUCUUUCUUUUUUUUCCUCUUAUGGAAAGUACAGUAUUUUAUUAUUUUUUCCUGCUGUUUUUCCAUGACAUCCAUCACGUUUCAUCAGAGAAGUACACUACAGUUUCCUGACACUUUGUUUAGAUGCUUGAAAUUUCCUCUACAGGUUGGAGGCUUUACCUACUUACUAGCUGACAACUGUUGAAGUUGCAAAUAAAAGAGUUGAGUUUUGGUAAACCAAAAAAAAAAAAAAAAGAAACCAAGCAAAGAAGCUGUAUGUCACGCUUAAUUGAUUUAUUGAUUUUAUGGAUGGAUUUUUCUUAAAUAUCUACUUCAGCUAUGUGAAUGUAAUGUUCUGUAAGAGCAUCAUCUGGCUGACUCACGUGCGAAGAUGCAAUAACGCUAAAGAUCCUCUUUUUGCACUUAGGGUCUGACUCCAGCCCAUCGCAGUCAGUCCCAUUGAUUUCGGUGAGGUUUGGAUCAGGUCAAACUGACAACUCAGGGUUGUCGCCAAUCCCUUAGGGUCCCAAAGCGUCCCGAGGCUGAAACCUGUAUCUAGCAAGUGUUGAAGUUUACAUUAAAUGUCUGUACUUUUGGAA